rnacentral:rRNA from 1 species
GACGAACGCUGGUUUCGUGCUUAACACAUGCAAGUCGAACGGAAAGGCCCUGCUUUUGUGGGGUGCUCGAGUGGCGAACGGGUGAGUAACACGUGAGUAACCUGCCCUUGACUUUGGGAUAACUUCAGGAAACUGGGGCUAAUACCGGAUAGGAGCUCCUGCUGCAUGGUGGGGGUUGGAAAGUUUCGGCGGUUGGGGAUGGACUCGCGGCUUAUCAGCUUGUUGGUGGGGUAGUGGCUUACCAAGGCUUUGACGGGUAGCCGGCCUGAGAGGGUGACCGGCCACAUUGGGACUGAGAUACGGCCCAGACUCCUACGGGAGGCAGCAGUGGGGAAUAUUGCACAAUGGGCGGAAGCCUGAUGCAGCAACGCCGCGUGCGGGAUGACGGCCUUCGGGUUGUAAACCGCUUUCGCCUGUGACGAAGCGUGAGUGACGGUAAUGGGUAAAGAAGCACCGGCUAACUACGUGCCAGCAGCCGCGGUGAUACGUAGGGUGCGAGCGUUGUCCGGAUUUAUUGGGCGUAAAGGGCUCGUAGGUGGUUGAUCGCGUCGGAAGUGUAAUCUUGGGGCUUAACCCUGAGCGUGCUUUCGAUACGGGUAGACUUGAGGAAGGUAGGGGAGAAUGGAAUUCUUGGUGGAGCGGUGGAAUGCGCAGAUAUCAGGAGGAACACCAGUGGCGAAGGCGGUUCUCUGGGCCUUUCCUGACGCUGAGGAGCGAAAGCGUGGGGAGCGAACAGGCUUAGAUACCCUGGUAGUCCACGCUGUAAACGGUGGGUACUAGGUGUGGGGUCCAUUCCACGGGUUCCGUGCCGUAGCUAACGCUUUAAGUACCCCGCCUGGGGAGUACGGCCGCAAGGCUAAAACUCAAAGGAAUUGACGGGGCCCCGCACAAGCGGCGGAGCAUGCGGAUUAAUUCGAUGCAACGCGUAGAACCUUACCUGGGUUUGACAUGGAUCGGGAGUGCUCAGAGAUGGGUGUGCCUCUUUUGGGGUCGGUUCACAGGUGGUGCAUGCCUGUCGUCAGCUCGUGUCGUGAGAUGUUGGGUUAAGUCCCGCAACGAGCGCAACUCUUGUUCACUGUUGCCAGCACGUUAUGGUGGGGACUCAGUGGAGACCGCCGGGGUCAACUCGGAGGAAGGUGGGGAUGACGUCAAGUCCUCAUGCCCCUUAUGUCCAGGGCUUCACGCAUGCUACAAUGGCUGGUACAGAGAGUGGCGAGCCUGUGAGGGUGAGCGAAUCUCGGAAAGCCGGUCUCAGUUCGGAUUGGGGUCUGCAACUCGACCUCAUGAAGUCGGAGUCGCUAGUAAUCGCAGAUCAGCAACGCUGCGGUGAAUACGUUCCCGGG